ensembl:miRNA gga-mir-6679 gga-mir-6679
CAUGUGCCGACUGAGUGGUGCCUCGUGGAAGAUAUGGUCAUCACUCUGUGAGAGUCACUAACAGUGCAGGACCAAUCUUUUGUGAGGGAACUGCUUCUUGCGAACUACCA